AAUAGAUGACGCCGUUGAUUUUUUCUCACAUGUUUGACCAUUCGUCUUAUUCAAAAAAUUUAUGUAAUUAUAAUUUUGUUAUGAGUUGUUUUAUCACAUAAAGUAUGAUUUAUAUCUUAUACAUUUGCAUAAAAUUUUUAAAUAAGACGAAUGUUCAAACAUGUGAGAAAAAAUCAACGGCGUCAUCUAUU
rfam:Oryza rufipogon genomic scaffold, chr12